rnacentral:rRNA from 1 species
CAGCGCCGCUAGUGGUGGCCGUGUAUUUGGCCUAAAGCGUCCGUAGCUGGUUAGUUAAAUUUCUUGUGAAAUCGUUAAUCUCAACUUAACGGCGUGCAGGAAAGACUGGCUAACUUGAGACCGGGAGGAGCUAGAGGUAUUCUGUGGGGAGCGGUAAAAUGCUAUAAUCCACAGAGGACCACCGAUGGCGAAGGCAUCUAGCUAGAACGGAUCUGACAGUGAGGGACGAAAGCCAGGGGAGCAAAACGGAUUAGAUACCCGAGUAGUCC